rnacentral:rRNA from 1 species
UACAGAGGGGGCAAGCGUUGUUCGGAAUUACUGGGCGUAAAGGGCGCGUAGGCGGCCCGCUAAGUCGAACGUGAAAUCCCCGAGCUCAACUCGGGAACUGCGUCCGAUACUGGUGGGCUUGAAUCCGGGAGAGGGAUGCGGAAUUCCAGGUGUAGCGGUGAAAUGCGUAGAUAUCUGGAGGAACACCGGUGGCGAAGGCGGCAUCCUGGACCGGCAUUGACGCUGAGGCGCGAAAGCUAGGGGGCAAACGGGG